rnacentral:rRNA from 1 species
CACGCUGUAAACGAUGAAUACUAGAUGUAGUGGGUAUCGACUCCCUCUGCACCGCAGUCAACACAUUAAGUAUUCCACCUGGGGAGUACGGCCGCAAGGCUGAAACUCAAAGGAAUUGACGGGGACCCGCACAAGCAGUGGAGUAUGUGGUUUAAUUCGACGCAACGCGAAGAACCUUACCAGGGCUUGACAUCCCUCGCCAUCCCUAGAGAUAGGGAGUUCCCUUCGGGGACGAGGAGACAGGUGG